UACGUAGGGGGCAAGCGUUGUCCGGAUUCAUUGGGCGUAAAGAGCGUGUAGGCGGCCAGGUAGGUCGGUUGUGAAAACUGGAGGCUCAACCUUCAGACGUCGACCGAAACCAUCUGGCUAGAGUCCGGGAGAGGAGAGUGGAAUUCCUGGUGUAGCGGUGAAAUGCGUAGAUAUCUGGAGGAAUACCGGUGGCGAAGGCGGCAUCCUGGACCGAGAUUGACGCUGAGGAGCGAAAGCUAGGGGAGCAAACGGG
rnacentral:rRNA from 1 species